AUUCAGAUGCAUGAAGCAGAAUGGAAGUUAUCUCUUUCAUGAAAUUUUAUAUGGGAUUGACGGUAGGACACAAUUAUAGGAGUAAAGUGGAAGAAACACAGUUACCUAAUUCGUUGGCCCCCUUCUGAGUACCAUUCCAGAAUGCACGGUCCAGAACGUGAAAAUUGACUAUCCAAAUUUUAUCUCUUUGAUACACUAAUUCCAUUUAGAUAGGCAGUUAUCCAAUGGUUUGUGGUAUUUGGUUACCUUAGAACUCAACAUCUUUAUUCACAAUGUUUAUUUAAUUAGAAUAGGUUUCCUUUUAUUUAAAGUUUUUCUAUUUAAGUCGCACUCUACUUCUUAAACUUUUAAAAUUACGUUCUAAUAGACUAAAAUUUCUUGAAAAAUACUAUACAUUCAAUAAAUAUAUUUAUCUUCCAUAAUUAUUGCCCAAAAAAGCCAAUAUCAAAGUAUAUAAACACCACUAAUGAUCCGAAUCAAUGUAAUCUACCAUACCAUUACUCCAUAUAGUGUUCCGACUAAGCCUACGCCUUAUGUACCUUGUAAAUAGGAAAGUACCGUAUCUUGUACCAUACCCAUCCUGCGAACCAAAGCAAAUUAUGAUCUGGGUAACACCGGGAAGAACUCUCUAUAUAAUUUUUAUAACAUUUUUGAGUAUUAGAAUUAUAUAAUCUCUUCAUAUAACUUUGGGAGUUGACUACCCAAGUAAAUCUGUUCAGUCAUUACCUUCUGCUAUUUCUUUUGUUUUCUGGUUCUGGUGGUUGAGUUUUAGAUUAUUUGGUUAUACUGCGGUUGGAUUUCCUCUGUUCUUUGUGGUGAAUACCAUCCUUUUAGACGAUGGGUUCCGUCUCUGCCUAUGAUUUUACUUUGCAUUUGUACUGAUUGAAGAUCCCGUUCAUUGAUCUGUGCAUGGUUGCUGUCCUUGUAAGUUGACUAGAAAGAGAAAAUAACAUGCCAAAGUUUACUGAGCAAAGUUCUAGUUGUGACUUAGUGAUGUCGUUGGUUAGACAAUUCCUUUUGAUUUUUCCUCCUAAUGAUAUUCCUGUACAAUAGCUGGCAGAAAUGCCCAUUUUCAUUUUGAUUUGUUGAACAUUUAAUCUAUAAUGAUCCAUGUUACAUGGUUCUUCUUUAGCUUGAUUAUG
rnacentral:misc_RNA from 1 species